rnacentral:rRNA from 1 species
GAUGAACGCUAGCGGCAGGCUUAAUACAUGCAAGUUGAGGGGCAGCAUGAUAUACGCGAGUAUAUUGAUGGCGACCGGCGGACGGGUGAGUAAUAGGUAGGAGACCUACCUCAUACAGGGGGAUAGCAUAGAGAAAUCUGUGGUAAUACCCCAUGAGGUUAUAUGAAUAGAGGCAUAUAAUCAAAGCAUAAGCGAUUAUGCGGUAUGAGAGGGGCCUACUGACCAUUAGCUAGUUGGUGAGGUAAGGGCUCACCAAGGCGAAGAUGGUUAGGGGUUUUGAGAGAGAGACCCCCCACAUUGGAACUGAGAGACGGUCCAGACUCCUACGGGAGGCAGCAGUAGGGAAUAUUAGGGCAAUGGGCGAAAGCCUGACCCAGCCAUGCCGCGUGAAGGAACGGGCCUUAUGGGUUGUAAACUGACUUUUGAUGGGACAAUAAGGUCUAUGCGUAGACUGAUGAGAGUACCAUACGAAU